CCUGAUCAUUAAUGGUACCCACCUGGUGUCCCAGGUCUAAACAGGGGGCCUGAUCAUUAAUGGUACCCACCUGGUGUCCCAGGUCUAAACAGGGGGGCCUGAUCAUUAAUGGUACCCACCUGGUGUCCCAGGUCUAAACAGGGGGGCCUGAUCAUUAAUGGUACCCACCUGGUGUCCCAGGUCUAAACAUGGGGGGCCUGAUCAUUAAUGGUACCCACCUGGUGUCCCAGGUCUAAACAGGGGGGCCUGAUCAUUAAUGGUACCCACCUGGUGUCCCAGGUCUAAACAGGGGGGGCCUGAUCAUUAAUGGUCCCCACCUGGUGUCCCAGGUCUAAACAGGGCCUGAUCAUUAAUGGUACCCACCUGGUGUCCCAGGUCUAAACAUGGGGGGCCUGAUCAUUAAUGGUCCCCACCUGGUGUCCCAGGUCUAAACAGGGGGGCCUGAUCAUUAAUGGUCCCCAGCUGGUGUCCCAGGUCUAAAUCAGUCCCUGAUUAGUGGGGAAGAAUGA